rnacentral:rRNA from 1 species
UGUUAAGCGAAUAAGCGUACACGGUGGAUGCCUAGGCAAUCAGAGGCGAUUAAGGACGUGCUAAUCUGCGAAAAGCUUCGGUAAGGUGAUAUGAACCGUUAUACCCGACGAUAUCCGAAUGGGGAA